AAAUGAUGACAAAAUAUCCCAAAAUGCCUAUUUGAAGCUUGCUUCAAAAAUGAAGGUUAAUCCAAUUUGCCACUGAUA
rnacentral:snoRNA from 1 species